rnacentral:misc_RNA from 1 species
GGGUAGGUCCUCAACUUCCGAGGGUAGUGCCACUGUCUAGCUUACGGACUUGUUAAAGACUCUUUCAUUCUUUCCUUUUUAAUUGAGUACUAUACUUUUGUAUGACCUACAUGUGGUCUUGUUGACUUAAUGUAAGGGCUAUGUCCAUAUUGUGAUAAUCGUUUAGAUGGUAUGAGAUGAGACAAUCUUUGAGACUAUUUU